rnacentral:rRNA from 1 species
UACGGGGGGGAGCAAGCGUUGUUCGGAUUUACUGGGCGUAAAGGGCGCGUAGGCGGCGUGACAAGUCACUUGUGAAAUCUCCGGGCUUAACCCGGAAAGGUCAAUCGAUACUGCGGGGCUAGAGUGCAGAAGGGGCAACUGGAAUUCUCGGUGUAGCGGUGAAAUGCGUAGAUAUCAAGAGGAACACCGGUGGCGAAGGCGGCAUCCUGGACCGGUAUUGACGCUGAGGCGCGAAAGCCAGGGGAGCAAACGGG